UACGUAGGGUCCGAGCGUUGUCCGGAAUUACUGGGCGUAAAGAGCUCGUAGGUGGCUUGUUGCGUCUGCCGUGAAAGCCCGUGGCUUAACUACGGGUCUGCGGUGGAUACGGGCAGGCUAGAGGCUGGUAGGGGCAAGCGGAAUUCCUGGUGUAGCGGUGAAAUGCGCAGAUAUCAGGAGGAACACCGGUGGCGAAGGCGGCUUGCUGGGCCAGUUCUGACGCUGAGGAGCGAAAGCGUGGGGAGCGAACAGG
rnacentral:rRNA from 1 species